UGCGUAGGUGGCUGAGCAAGUCGUUGAUGAAAUCCCCGGGCUCAACUCGGGAACUGUCUUCGAAACUGCUCAGCUUGAGGGUGGUUGAGGAAAGCGGAAUUCCCGGGUGGAGCGGUGAAAUGCGUAGAUAUCGGGAGGAACACCAGAGGCGAAGGCGGCUUUCUGGGCCAUUCCUGACACUCAUGCACGAAAGCUAGGGGAGCGAAC
rnacentral:rRNA from 1 species